UAUGGCAGACUACAGUGCAUAGGAUCUAAACUCCUAUAAUAAAGAUAAAUUUAUCAAUCUUUUAUUAAAA
rnacentral:tRNA from 1 species